GACAGAGGGGGCAAGCGUUGCUCGGAAUCACUGGGCGUAAAGGGCGCGUAGGCGGGAUGGCAAGUCGGUCGUGAAAUCUCUCGGCUCAACCGAGAAACGUCGGCCGAUACUGCCGUUCUUGAGGGAUGCAGAGGAGACUGGAAUUCCCGGUGUAGCGGUGAAAUGCGUAGAUAUCUGGAGGAACACCGGUGGCGAAGGCGGCAUCCUGGACCGGCAUUGACGCUGAGGCGCGAAAGCCAGGGGAGCCAA
rnacentral:rRNA from 1 species